UGAUGUGAAAGGAGGAUAUUCCAGCAAUACGCCUGUUUCCAUGGAGUAUGUUGAAGAACAAUGGAGGAGAAGACAAAACUUGGAUGAAGCUACCCCCCGGAAAGAUGGAGAUUUGUGGAAGACAGAUGCAACAACGGGGACAUAAGAGACAAACUGAAAGGACAACCCGGAGUCGUCCAGCCCAGACCUUCGGUAUCAGCAGGGACCAUGUCACAGUUUGAAGAGAUUCAGCCGUGUGUAUGUUUGGCAUGAGAAAAGAGCUACACAAGAAGGAGAAACUUUCUCACCCUCUUUAUAAAUUAUUUCUUUGAAGACCAGCACAAAGGAGAGAGGAAACUUGGGGCACAGUGGCUUGGCUGCCUGAUUUACUUCUCUGCAUCUCUAGUAUCCAAGCUGGUAGUCUAGACUCCGGAGAAACGCAACUUCAGAGCCUAAAAGGCCAGUGGUGGGACCUAUUUCAGACCUGCUUUUUGAUGUGAUGCAAGUUGCACCAGAAGCCUCUACUAGCAAUGUGAGAUGCCUGGAUGAGCGGGUUAAGAGGACCCAACUCCUGCUGUUUGUGCACAUGUGCACAGAUAACCUACGGUGGACACGCCAGCCUUGUGGGUAUCUACAGAGUCUCAGCCUGGCUACUUCAACCCAUCCGCUUUCAGACCUUCUGGUCCCAGGAUUUUUGCAGCUGGAUGUGUGUGGUCUUCACCUACCCCAGAGUGAUGGUAAAGGAGACAACGCAGAAGUCAUGAGAGGACUCUGGGAAGGAGAUUUAAGGCUGCUUCCAGAAGAGCCCUUUCUCCUUAGCAUCUGCAGCAUCCUGCUGUCAGGAAAGGCACAAGGAGGAGUCAGGCAUGAAACAUGAGCCAUGGUGACUGAAAACUAGUCUUUCUCACCAACAUGAAGACCUCAACUGUUUGUUCCAUGCAUGAACCAAGGCGACAGCAGCUUUCAGGGUUUUACAGUGCAACUGUGUCACAGCAGCUGGAGGAAGCAUUAAACCAGUUUUUGAGUGGGCGUUCCCUGCUUUGGGCUGGCAGUGAGGAUCUUCAGCAAUGCCUCCCGAUGGUAAUUGCCCAGAUUUUGUUGCACGUGCACCAGCAGAAGUGGGAAGACCUGUGCUUUAGGAAAAAGCUCGCAGUUUUUAUGCUGUAUUGUAAAAGCCUGCAGUGUAGCUCUCCCUGCUACCAAACAGAAAUCUGUAAACAUCAAGAAGCAUUGGCAUCAUUUUCAGCUCUGACUGCUUUGAAGGAUUAAAUUGAGAAUGGCAAGUAUUUUAGUGGGGUCUCAGCUAAUUGUAUAUCUGGAGAUGUAAUGAAGCUCUGAAAUAUUUCUUCCCCCUGGGAGUGAGAGUGCUGGCUAUUACAAUAGCUUACUUCUUUCAUGCUUGACAG